rnacentral:siRNA from 1 species
UUGCGGGAGAAGCCAAUAUGAG